rnacentral:lncRNA from 1 species
UUAGAAUUGGAAAUUGCCAUGUCAGCAAAAUCUGUUAUAACUGACAGUUAGUUAAACUAACCACUAUUCAUUACUGUUAUAUUGAGAUAUUGUUCAAGAAAGAUAGUUGAGCUGAUAGUUAGUUGAGAAUUAGAGGGAGUGGGUCAAUUCUACAAUUGUAAAUAAACUAGUGAAGUGUACAAGAGUUUUAGAAUAAUACAAUUCAUUGCUUUCUUCUCUAAAAUCUCUCUUCUCUUCUUAUUCUCUUCUUCUCUGUUCUUAACUUGUGGUGCUGUUCUGCAAUAGCUUAUUCCAAAUCCUUGAAUCGUGAGUGAUUCAAGCUAUUUGGGUAACAGCUGGACCACAAGUAUACACCAUAGAUAAUAGACAAUGUAUAAAGGAUACAAAAAGAUUAAUAUACUGAAUGUUAUGAUACAGAGCAAACAUGAUCAUGUCACCUCCUACACAUUUUGUUAAAGACUAACCAUACAAUGAAAUCUGAUAGCUCUCUCCUCUGAGAAACUACUGUCUCACUGUUUCUAGUUUUCUAGUGAAGAAGAUCCCAUGCUAAAUCACCAACAUCAUCAGUCGACUAUGAUGAUUCAUCGAUCUGCCUUAGCCAAAAGUUCUUCAAGUCUUUAAUUCACGCUUUCCCAUCAGAUUAUGAGUAUUCAAGAUCCAAUUGCAGCACACCAGUUCAUUCUGCAUGUGUAGAACUGAUAGCAAUAGAACACUAUAUAAAAUGACAACUAUGAUGAUGCAUCGAUCUGCCUAGCCACUGCAACAGGCUGCAAACACUGACUGACACAAAAUGAUUCACCUGAAACUCAAAAGUAUAACACUGAUUGAAAGCCUAUGGUUUCUCGUGUCAAUUCAAAUAGCUUGAGCGACUACAGAUACUAACAAAUUAAACGAGCUUACAAAAGAGACUAGCUACUUAUCCAUUUGGGUUGGAAUGUAAGCAAAUGAUGUCCUGAGAUGCUCUACGACUAUGUGAAACAUAUUGUCGAAACAUCAGACAAAUUUAGAGUUCGCAGACGUGAUUAUAGCAAAUAUCAGGAACAUUUCCAACUCGAAUAUAUCAAUAAGCUAAUGGAAAUAUAAGGAUCUAUCUAGACACAGUAAAACAGAAUCAGAUGAACACGGUAUCAAGUCUAACAUUCAAGAAAGAUGCUCCAUAACUUUUUCAUUAGGAAUAUAUGGUGCUCCAUUUUUUUUUUGGAUUGCUGGAAAAUAAUUUUGCUUACCCUAGUUUUAUUUUCUUAAUUAGAAACUUAGUUGAAAAGAAAAAAUAGGUUGAAUGGAGGGAAUAGUAAAUUUUUUG